CACUUCACAAAAACAAAUAUAAAUAGCCUUAUACACAUGAAAUCUGCUCACUCAAAUAUAUGACAAAAUUACUAAGUCCAGAAGAUUGAAAAUAUACUAUGAAGCUGUGUAGAAAUAGGAACUUUUAUUCAUUAGUGAUGAAGAUGCCAGUUGCCUUCCAAUGAAGGGAGUUUGGCCACAUCUAUCAAAAUUACAAAUGCAUAUUUGCCCCUUGAUUCAACAGUUCCAGGUUCAGGGAAUUUAUUCCAUGGAAGCAUGUCUACACUUGAUAUAUGUACAGUUAUUCAUUGCAGCCUUCUUCAUAUGGGCAAAGAUUGGAAAUAACCCAAUUUCCUUCAUUGUCUAUCAGGUUAUAUGAGUGAUGACCAUACCUGAGAUGGAAUACAAUGUAGGUGGGGAAAAGAUCCAGAAGAAAGAAUGAAAAAUGGAAGCUCUAUCUACUAAUUUGCAGACAUCUCUCCCUGAUCCUGACUGCUCGAAGGGAGUUCUGCCCCACCUACUUCAAGCUGGCUUUUUUGAGCACCUGGAAACAAAACUAGUGUGCCACCAAUGCCAGGGUGUUUGUGGCCAAUGGGGGUUAGAGCCCAGAGACCUGGGCCAAGUAUGGACUAUGGCCAGAAGUGGGAUCCUAGCCAGUCUCCUGGAUGACACUGCCUAGUUCUCUUUGUGAACUUAAACCCCAGCUUCUGAGGUUACCAACGGGAAGACAGAUCACAGGGAUUUCUUUGUCUCAUAGGAUCAAGAAAAUCAUCAUGAAGAAACCUAGGAAUGGUUUCCUUGCAUGCCCAUUUUAAAGAUGGAAAAACUGAGGGAAGUUAAGAGUGGCCACAUGAGAUCAUGAGUAGCAUUGCUUCUCAGACCAAGGGGCCCAUAUCUUCUCUGGUCCCAACCAGAGCUGAAGACCCCUGACAACGCCAACCUGCUCUAUACUGAGAACCCUACCGCCAAUUGUGACUUUGUUCUGUGAAGUAGACUUUCACCAAGGGUCAGGCAUGGAACCAGCUUAACCCUCCCUCUCAUGAAGCAGAUGGGACUCCAGAUUUUCAAGGACACCUUCUAACUGGUUCCUAACGCAGAUACAGUUCUACCUCACAGAGGGGACCUGCUGGUGUGUUCAGUGAGAACUCAGUUGGCUCCUCCAGCUGUGAAGUGAAGGGGAUCAACAUGAGCUUUCUCCUGGAGUUCCCUGAUGGCCAAGAAAAGGAGGUAAGUGCCUUCCCCUUCUCUCUAUCAGCACUGCCACAGCAUCU